rnacentral:rRNA from 1 species
UACGUAGGUGGCAAGCGUUGUCCGGAAUUAUUGGGCGUAAAGCGCGCGCAGGCGGUCCUUUAAGUCUGAUGUGAAAGCCCACGGCUCAACCGUGGAGGGUCAUUGGAAACUGGGGGACUUGAGUGCAGGAGGGAAGAGUGGAAUUCCACGUGUAGCGGUGAAAUGCGUAGAGAUGUGGAGGAACACCAGUGGCGAAGGCGAGUCCCUGGACAACACCUGACACUGAGGCACGAAAGCUAGGGGAGCAAACAGG